rnacentral:rRNA from 1 species
GAUGAACGCUAGCUACAGGCUUAACACAUGCAAGUCGAGGGGAAACGGCAUUAAGUGCUUGCACUUUUUGGACGUCGACCGGCGUACGGGUGAGUAACGCGUAUCCAACCUGCCCCUUACCAGGGAAUAACCCGUUGAAAGACGGACUAAUGCCCUAUGCAGUCCUUUGACGGCAUCAGAUUAGGACUAAAGAUUCAUCGGUAUGGGAUGGGGAUGCGUCUGAUUAGCUUGUUGGCGGGGUAACGGCCCACCAAGGCAUCGAUCAGUAGGGGUUCUGAGAGGAAGGUCCCCCACAUAGGAACUGAGACACGGUCCUAACUCCUACGGGAGGCAGCAGUGAGGAAUAUUGGUCAAUGGGCGCUAGCCUGAACCAGCCAAGUAGCGUGCAGGACGACGGCCCUAUGGGUUGUAAACUGCUUUUAUGCGGGGAUAAAGUCACCCACGUGUGGGUGUUUGCAGGUACCGCAUGAAUAAGGACCGGCUAAUUCCGUG